GACGAACGCUGGCGGCGUGCUUAACACAUGCAAGUCGAACGGUAAGGCCCUUCGGGGUACACGAGUGGCGAACGGGUGAGUAACACGUGGGUGAUCUGCCCUGCACUUCGGGAUAAGCCUGGGAAACUGGGUCUAAUACCGGAUAGGACUCCGGACUGCAUGGUCUGGGGUGGAAAGCUUUUGCGGUGUGGGAUGGGCCCGCGGCCUAUCAGCUUGGUGGGGGGGUGAUGGCCUACCAAGGCGACGACGGGUAGCCGGCCUGAGAGGGUGACCGGCCAAACUGGGACUGAGGUACGGCCCAGACUCGUACGGGAGGCAGCAGUGGGGAAUAUUGCACAAUGGGCGCAAGCCUGAUGCAGCGACGCCGCGUGAGGGAUGACGGCCUUCGGGUUGUAAACCUCUUUCAGCAUCGACGAAGCGAAAGUGACGGUAGGUGCAGAAGAAGGACCGGCCAACUACGUGCCAGCAGCCGCAGUAA
rnacentral:rRNA from 1 species